UACGGAGGUCUCAAGCGUUGUUCGGAAUCACUGGGCGUAAAGCGUGCGUAGGCUGUUUCGUAAGUCGUGUGUGAAAGGCGCGGGCUCAACCCGCGGACGGCACAUGAUACUGCGAGACUAGAGUAAUGGAGGGGGAACCGGAAUUCUCGGUGUAGCAGUGAAAUGCGUAGAUAUCGAGAGGAACACUCGUGGCGAAGGCGGGUUCCUGGACAUUAACUGACGCUGAGGCACGAAGGCCAGGGGAGCGAAAGGG
rnacentral:rRNA from 1 species